rnacentral:rRNA from 1 species
UGAGGAAUUUUGCGCAAUGGGCGCAAUCCUGACGCAGCAACGCCGCGUGGGUGAUGAAGGCCUUCGGGUCGUAAAGCCCUGUCAGGUGGGAAGAAUGUCCCGGGACUGAACAGGUUCCGGGAGUGACGGUACCACCAGAGGACGCACCGGCUAACUCCGUGCCAGCAGCCGCGGUAAUACGGAGGGUGCAAGCGUUAUUCGGAAUUACUGGGCGUAAAGCGCGUGUAGGCGGUCCUGCAAGUCUGAGGUGAAAGCCCCGGGCUUAACCCGGGAAGUGCAUUGGAAACUGUGGGACUUGGGUACGGGAGAGGAUGGGGGAAUUCCCGGUGUAGAGGUGAAAUGCGUAGAGAUCGGGAGGAAUAUCAGUGGCGAAGGCGCCCAUCUGGACGGUAACUGACGCUGAGACGCGAAAGCGUGGGGAGCAAACA